UUUUCUCCUAAAACCUGACAGAAUCUGC
rnacentral:piRNA from 2 species